AGUGAACGCUGGCGGUAGGCCUAACACAUGCAAGUCGAACGGCAGCACAGUAAGAGCUUGCUCUUACGGGUGGCGAGUGGAGGACGGGUGAGGAAUACAUCGGAAUCUACUUUUUCGUGGGGGAUAACGUAGGGAAACUUACGCUAAUACCGCAUACGACCUACGGGUGAAAGCAGGGGAUCUUCGGACCUUGCGCGAUUGAAUGAGCCGAUGUCGGAUUAGCUAGUUGGCGGGGUAAAGGCCCACCAAGGCGACGAUCCGUAGCUGGUCUGAGAGGAGGAUCAGCGACACUGGAAGUGAGACACGGUCCAGGCUCCUACGGGAGGCAGCAGUUGGGAAGAUUGGACAAAGGGCGCAAUCCUGAUCCAGCCAUACCGCGUGGGUGAAGAAAGCCUUCGGGUUGUAAAGCCCUUUUGUUGGGAAAAAAAAGCAGCAGGUUAAUACCCCGCUGUUCUGACGGUACCCAAAGAAGAAGCACCGGCUAACUUCGUG
rnacentral:rRNA from 1 species